ensembl:lncRNA
CGUUAACGUUAGCCAUCGAGAACUACAAAAGAUUUGCUACUUUUCUCAACAACAUUGAUGCCCUGAAUUUAGCAGGCGCUAUCAACAGAUCAGUUGGAAAAAGCGAUGGACUACUUUCUGCACACACCACUGUCAGUGUGAACCGGAGUGACAAACAAGAGUCAAAUGGUUCCAGUCUACCGUUAAGGGUUCAUCCAUGUAUGUGGAGCAGAUAUCAUUGUGCCUUGUGUAUAAAAAUGUAAGAUAAGCAGGGAUCCAACCCCCCUUGAGGUUGUUGAAAGGGCAACCAAGGAAGUGAGAGAAAGAAAGAAGUCCAUUCGAACAGCAGCAAGGGAUGAAACAUUUAAUGAAUGACUAUGAAGAGGACACCAUCCAACUGGAAGGACGUCUUUGAAUGGAUUUACCCCAAGGCGGCUCAACUUACCCUGUCCCUAUGCUCAACUUAUCCCAUACCUGGUGUAUGCUGUGCAAAGAGACCACUUUUCUGUACAAGCUAUGUUUUCAAAACUGUUAGACGUUUAUGAAUUCUGAUUAUUUCCAGCGAUACACAAACAUCCUAAAAUAUGUAGAUAUCUUUGUUAGACUAUAUUUCCCUUGACGUAGUGAUGCUGAAUGUAAUAAAUGGCUCAA